rnacentral:rRNA from 1 species
UGGGGAAUAUUGCACAAUGGGCGCAAGCCUGAUGCAGCCAUGCCGCGUGUGUGAAGAAGGCCUUCGGGUUGUAAAGCACUUUCAGUCGGGAGGAAGGUGUCAAGGUUAAUAACCUUGGCAAUUGACGUUACCGACAGAAGAAGCACCGGCUAACUCCGUGCCAGCAGCCGCGGUAAUACGGAGGGUGCAAGCGUUAAUCGGAAUUACUGGGCGUAAAGCGCACGCAGGCGGUUGAUUGAGUCAGAUGUGAAAUCCCCGGGCUCAACCUGGGAACUGCAUCUGAUACUGGCAAGCUUGAGUCUCGUAGAGGGGGGUAGAAUUCCAGGUGUAGCGGUGAAAUGCGUAGAGAUCUGGAGGAAUACCGGUGGCGAAGGCGGCCCCCUGGACGAAGACUGACGCUCAGGUGCGAAAGCGUGGGGAGCAAACAGG